UACGGAGGAUGCGAGCGUUAUCCGGAUUUAUUGGGUUUAAAGGGUGCGUAGGCGGAAGAUCAAGUCAGCGGUAAAAUCGUGGGGCUCAACCCCAUCCUGCCGUUGAAACUGGUUUUCUUGAGUGAGCGAGAGGUAUGCGGAAUGCGUGGUGUAGCGGUGAAAUGCAUAGAUAUCACGCAGAACCCCGAUUGCGAAGGCAGCAUACCGGUGCUCAACUGACGCUGAGGCACGAAAGCGUGGGGAUCAAACAGG
rnacentral:rRNA from 1 species